UAAGAAUGCCCAAUUAACCACAGUUAAGGUGUGUUGAAGUAAUUAAUUAGUAUAUUGAUUUCCUACAGUUAACCCGUUCUAUAUUAAUUUCCUACAGUUAACCAGUUCUAUAUAUUAGAAUUGUUCCUAGUCCUAGUCCUUUGAUGGAUUCUUGCUUGUAUUGCUUGCUGGUGGUCCAUCCCGUGCUUCUUCCCGGAAGGACUCUUAGAUCAUCGAGGAUGAUUUCAAAUUUCUUAAGGAACUAUUUUGGGCAAAUGGGGAUGGCUUGCCUUCUGAAUUAAUAGAUAAGUUUUCAAUUACUGUGAGAUCUAUCCUUCCCCUUUUCAGAACUGACACAGAGACCAUUAUAGAGCGGUUUAGACGAGUAACCCUGGAGACAUAUAAAUCCUCUGCAAGGUCUAGGCUUCCAUUACCUCCAACUUCUGGCCAGUGGUAUCCAUCUGAACCAAACACGUUAUUACGUGUUCUAUGCUAUAGAAACGAUGAAAUAGCCUCUAAGUUUCUUAAAAAGACAUAUGAUCUACCUAAGAAACUCUAAACAACAGUGAGAAACAGUAAAUGGGAUGGAAAAUUGGGAUGUCGGUGGGGACUAUGCAUUCUGCUUAACAACCCGGUUAUUCUUGUAUUUAUUACAACAUUGCCCAGCUAAUAUACGUGCAUUAUUCUUCAGGAUGCGACUCUCUUGUAGCCAAAAGCUUAUUGCUACUAGCAUAUUCUUAGAGUAUGAAGUGAGGCAGCUCAAAUGGUAGCUAAAAUGGCUGGCUUACAUCAGAAGUUAAUUCAUAUGGUCCCUUUAAGCUGCUGGAAGCACCCCACAACUGGUGGCAAGAAGCACGAGCACCUAAAAUUGCUUCUGUGCAGAUUGAAUGGAGUGUCAGGGGUGGCUCGUUAAGGAAUGUUGAUUCUGCUCGUGUUUCAAUCCCCAGCACCUUAAAGUAUGAUGAUUCAAAGAAAUGUUAUGUUUACGGCACAGAGCUAAACAAGUGUGCUCAUUGGCCUUUUCUUUCCACAAAACUUGUUUGUUUGGUUUUUUAUUUCUGAGAGUUAAUAAAUUAUAUAUUGAAAUAUUUUCAUAUUGUACUGAUCAUGGUUAGUUCUUAUGCAUUCAAUUGACAUAAUUUUCAUUAUAAUGUUGAGUAAUGAGUUUUUUGUGCCAUAACAAAGUGAAUAACUUUUACUAUUGACAUUUUUUCAAGUACU